rnacentral:rRNA from 1 species
UGGGCGUAAGCGCGCGCAGGCGGUCCUUUAAGUCUGAUGUGAAAGCCCACGGCUCAACCGUGGAGGGUCAUUGGAAACUGGGGGACUUGAGUGCAGAAGAGGAAAGUGGAAUUCCAAGUGUAGCGGUGAAAUGCGUAGAGAUUUGGAGGAACACCAGUGGCGAAGGCGACUUUCUGGUCUGUAUCUGACGCUGAGGCGCGAAAGCGUGGGGAGCAAACACGAUUAUAUACCCUGGUAGUCCACGCCGUAAACGAUGAGUGCUAAGUGUUAUGGGGUUUCCCCCC